rnacentral:rRNA from 1 species
AUUGAGCGCUGGCGGCAGGCCUAACACAUGCAAGUCGAGCGGAUGACGGGAGCUUGCUCCUUGAUUCAGCGGCGGACGGGUGAGUAAUGCCUAGGAAUCUGCCUGGUAGUGGGGGACAACGUUUCGAAAGGAACGCUAAUACCGCAUACGUCCUACGGGAGAAAGCAGGGGACCUUCGGGCCUUGCGCUAUCAGAUGAGCCUAGGUCGGAUUAGCUUGUUGGUGAGGUAAUGGCUCACCAAGGCGACGAUCCGUAACUGGUCUGAGAGGAUGAUCAGUCACACUGGAACUGAGACACGGUCAAGACACCUACGGGAUGCAGAAGUGGGAAAUAUUGGACAAUGGGCGAAAGCCUGAUCCAGCCAUGCCGCGUGUGUGAAGAAGGUCUUCGGAUUGUAAAGCACUUUAAGUUGGGAGGAAGGGUUGUAGAUUAAUACUCUGCAAUUUUGACGUUACCGACAGAAUAAGCACCGGCUAACUCUGUGCCAGCCGCCGCCGUAACAC